rnacentral:lncRNA from 1 species
GAGAAAUUCCCCUACUUGGGCUUCCAUGAAAAUAUUGGUUUGCUGAGAAAGUUUAAAAACCAUUAGACAAAAAAAAAAAAAAAAAAAAAAAAAAAAACAAAAAAAAAACAACAAAAAAAACAAUUUUAAAGGCACUUCUGGGUCUAAGAGCAUGUAAUAUCUGGGAUAUGGGUGGCCAGCCUUGGGCUGGGGUGAAGCUGAGGAAGCACCGUGGCAUAAAAGUGAAGGAGACUUUGCUCUCAGAGUUGACCUCACAAAGGAACAUCUCCUUCAACUUUGCAUCCUUGGCACAUCUCUAGCUUCAUCCUAGCCCCAACUCUGGUCAGUAAAUAUUCUUCCCUUUUAGUUUCUGGAAAGUCACCGUCAUCUGAGGUCACCCAGACUAGCCACAAAAGCCAGCCAUCCAGCAAAUGGGAAGAAUGAAAAGCUCUUAUCUGAGGCGAAGAAAGCCCAGUCUGUUGGGGAAGGGAGAAUGGAUUUGCUGGGUGUUUGGAAUCAGGUCAAGAAUAUAAACAGUUCCUGCCUUCCUGAAAAAGAUACUCCGAUUACCUCCUCUCAUGUCAAAGAGAUUGUUCCAGUAAAAUAAAGGCUGCUGACGUGCUGACAACCAGGAGUGUCGUAGCACAAGAAGAGAAUGGAGCAGCCAUUGCCAAGGGGAGGCAGAGCGGAGCUGUUCCCAGCUGCAAGCCUGGUCCUGCAAGAGUCUCCACAUUUUUUCCUAGUGCAGAGUCUGCAGUUGGGGGACAUGAAUUCUGGUGCUCUGUUCUCCAUGAAUGCUUCUCACCUUUCUUCCUGGAGCC